UACGGGGGGGGUAAGCGUUGUUCGGAAUUACUGGGCGUAAAGGGCUCGUAGGCGGCCAACUAAGUCAGACGUGAAAUCCCUCAGCUUAACUGGGGGACUGCGUCUGAUACUGGAUGGCUUGGAUUCGGGAGAGGAAUGCGGAAUUCCAGGUGUAGCGGUGAAAUGCGUAGAUAUCUGGAGGAACACCGGUGGCGAAGGCGGCAUUCUGGACCGAUAUUGACGCUGAACGGCGAAAGCUAGGGGAGCAAACGGG
rnacentral:rRNA from 1 species